CGUUGGCGUAGUUUUCUAAACCGCCCAGGGAGAGCGCCGCUGUAUCCCCCCAUCCCAAUCCAUUCCUCCUUGCUCGCCCCAAAUCUUGCUCGCCGGUUGUCGGCAUAAAUCAUGUUUUUGCCGCCGGUUGCCGGAGACGGAGAGGGUAUGGGUGGUGUUUGAGCGCGCGCGACGGAGGUGCACGGGGUUGCUGUGGCGCGCGCGGGGCACUGCAGAGGUGCGCCUGGAGAAGGCCGCGGCGGAGGUGCACGAGGCUGUGUGGGGAGGCGCGCGAGGCUGUGACGGAUAGCGCGAGCAGCUGCGGUGGUGCGCGCGCGGCGAGGCUGCGUUCGAGCGUGCGUGCUUCGGAGGUGCGCACGGGGACUACAGAAGACCCGGUGAGCGUGGCGAAGGUCGUCGGCGACGACUUCGUUUCUGGCGGUGGAGUCGCCGCUGCUUGAGGAUCGACAAUGUCUGAAGCAAGCAAAAGUGGUGGUCAGGAUUUACAAGCUAACCAAGAGGGUCCAGAAGAAAUAGAGGCACACCCAUCUCAACAACAAAACCCGACUAUAAUUGGCUACAAGUGUAGGUGCACUAAAGAGGUGAUUUGUCAUGGGAAGCGCUCGUUAGACAUAGAUAGCAAUGCAAGUGCACCAGAUGAUGAUUAAGAAGCCAGGGAGGUCACACAAGAGGAGGAAUCAAAGCCAAAAUGACGGAACACAUGCGAAAAUGAGGGCCUCACUAAAUUCUAAAGUCAAAGCAACAUUUUUGAGGUUUUGUGCACACACCCAAGCAAGAAGGUUCAACAUCCACUUCCUGUAAAAUCAAUACUCGCUGCUCACGGCGUAAGAAACAAGGGGGAAACACUGGAAAAAUAGUUGCAAUCUGGAUGAACAAGGUGAGAAAAAAAAAAUCAAACCUUCUCUUUCUUUUGCUGAAUUUUGAUGUGUGGGUUGGUUAGUUAAACAUUGCACGAGCAAAAUAUGGGUCAAUUUUGCCUGAAUUUUUAUAUGCAAGUUUUUUCUUAGAAGAAAUCCAUAUAAGGUGAAACAUUUUUAUCUGUUUUUUGCUUCUUGGGGUUUUAAGCAUGGGUGGCCAAUAAAUCAAUCUCUUUUUUUCACCUGUAUACACAUCAGCCCUAGGAGAUACCUGUCAAAAAUCCAAAGCACAAGCUAAAACCAAAACUUCAAGAGGGUUAUGUUUGUUUUCAUUCACACAACUAAAUAAACAUGAGUUGCCUCUAAACCAUUCCCUACUUGCCCAAACAUUAUAGAAACUUGCCUAGAUAUGUGAACAGCUAGAAACACAACCAGCACAUCAGCUACAGUUAGAGCAAAUCCCCAGAUAGAUACAUUGCCCAAAACCCAGUAGCAAAAUUCACAACGAAACACAGCAGCUACUGCAAAUUGUAGUUCAACAAGAAAUUUUGCCCCAAAAUUCACUAGUAAAAGCCAAACCCUGUAAUUUUCAACACCUCCUUUUUCCUUAAUUUUUUUUCUACCACACAAGAAACAUGAGUUGCCUGCAUUUUUUUUCUCCUGGAUUGCCUACACAUAUACACAACUUGCCCAAAAGCUUUGACAAGCUUGAAGAUCAACCAAAAAACAACAGCUUCGCGCAACCUACAACACUCUGCAGAUACUUGCAAAAAAUUGAAGCAUAAACUAGAAUAGUAAUUUCAAGAGAGGGGUUUCCCUGUGUUUUCAGUUAGAGUUGCCUGGAAAUCAUUCCAUACUUGCAUGCACAUCAUACCAAUUUGCCCAAAAAACACAUUAUUUUGCAUGUGUAAUGUCUUAGUAGUUCUUUUUUGCAGUUUCACAAACAUUAACUGCCAUGUUGUUGUAUAUUCCCUCAUUAAUAAAUCCUUCGUUCCACGGGCAUUUGUAAAAGAGAAGCGGCAUUUGUAAAAGAGAAGCAUCUGAGAGGGCACAACAAGAUGGAAGCUCACCUCUCAGGUCCAUGGCCACCAAAACGAGGGCAACAGUUGUGGCAAUGGAGGAGAGGAACAGAUGGAGAAGGGGAGGUCAAGGGGGUGAGGUUUGGGGGCCUGUGACUGGGAAAGGGAAGGACGAUUUGGUGCGUUGGCGUGAGCCUAUAUAAGGCUAAUGUCAGUAGGGACAGUAGUUAAUAUUGUGACAGACUCGCCCCUGGGGGCCAUGUGCGUGAGGGGACUGUUUUUUUCUUUUUUGGAUUUGCCAGCUGGAUCAGGGGAAAGGUCCACUACUAAUUUUAGGGUGUGUGCUCUGGACCGCUAGCAGCCAAGGGUUGCUGGCUAGUCGCGUCCGGAGUCCCAAAUCCUAAAAAAAUGUAUAAGGUCGCCUAAGGUCUCAAGCGGUCAAAACCCUCUAUGAUUCAAUCCCAUCGUCGCCACUGUCAUCCACUCAUCAUUAGCUACCACUUGGAAUAGGCUGACGCUAGCGAUCAUUGCGGUCUACUUUGCGUCAAGUCAUGGGUGAACGGUGAUCCUACAAGGGCCGCGCUGAUCUCUGUUGCUGGUUUGCGUCGAGCCCUCGAGCGUGUUCAAUCUUCCAGAAACUCGGCGCAAGAUUCUUUAAGUAUAAAGAAUAUUGUAUUCCGCUUUGAGAUGGUAGUGCCUAAUAGUUGUAUGGUGAUGCCAUGAUGGCCACACUGAUCUCCGUUGCUGGUUUGCGUCGAGCCCUCGAGCGUGUACCAUCUUCCAGGAACUCACUGCUAGAUUCUUCAAGGUAUAAUGAAUACGGAAAUCCAUUUUGACUCAUGGAGCCACAUGCUCCCGCAAUCUGGUCCGUGCCUCUGCCUCAUGAUUCCCGCGUAGGAUUGUAUUCCCAGCAGAUUUGGAUAGUAUUUUUGUGCUUUGAGAGGGUAGUGCCUAAUAGCAAUACAUGUUCUUGCUACUAGCUUGAAAAACGAUCUUAUAUUGUGGCACGUAGGGAGUAGAUGCUAGGCCAAGUUCAAAAUUUUCUUUUAUUUUAGGUUAUCCAUACUUUUGUAGUGGACAAAAAGGUAAAUAGAAAGAAUAGGUUAUAUUCUUUUUUCCAAGCCAUUUGUUUCACACUUGAACCCUUUGUAUGAUCAUGUAGCCAAUCACAGGGAUAAAUUUGAAUGAAUACUCGUAAAUAUCCGUUGUGAUGUGAUUUUACAUGAGACUUGAUAUACAUAUUGUGAUUUUACAUGAGACUUAAUAUACAUAUUGUCACGCCUAAUAUGCGACUCUAUCCUAAAGGAAUUUGAAGGUCCCACCAAGGAUAGAAACGCAUAUUGGAGACACUUUUGCAAGGUGGAUAUCAUUAUAUCGUAUCAUUACAUAAUAGUUGGGGAA